UACGUAGGGCGCAAGCGUUGUCCGGAAUUAUUGGGCGUAAAGAGCUCGUAGGCGGUCUGUCGCGUCGGCUGUGAAAACCCGAGGCUCAACCUCGGGCCUGCAGUCGAUACGGGCAGACUAGAGUGCUGUAGGGGAGACUGGAAUUCCUGGUGUAGCGGUGAAAUGCGCAGAUAUCAGGAGGAACACCGGUGGCGAAGGCGGGUCUCUGGGCCGAUACUGACGCUGAGGAGCGAAAGCAUGGGUAGCGAACAGG
rnacentral:rRNA from 1 species